AUCUCUAUCAUACACCUCAGAGACAAAAAUAUAUGGAAACAGCAUAAUUAAAAAUGGUAUAUUGUACAACAGUCUCUGAAAUAACUCCUGAUCUUACAACCAGAACUCCAAAUGCAAAAACUCACACGGCAGCAGCAAAAGGAUGAUAUCAUAGUCAUAAUGGCUUUGAUCAAAAUCAACAGCAUAUCAAGUAGGUGAACCAUUACACACAAGCCAAAGUCUCUUUAUACAAAUAAUUGUUCUCCUCCACAAGGAAAUCCUGAUCAUUAGUUAACUGGAAAGAUUUGAAGGUCUUACUCUUAAGAUUCCACGAGACGACUUGACCAGGUAUAUGCAGGAAUAGAGAUGAAGAGUCCUCUUCCUCAUUUCCGACUCGAUCAAGAAAGAGAACAAAAUAAACUCCAUAACGGAAGCCCGUACUGAAGGAAGUGCACAAGGGAUCAAGAUCAACAUUGUACUUGACAAACCAGCCAGAAUAGUCUCUUCCCAUCUCCAACACUUCGAACUUAGUAAGACAGGGCUUAUAAAUAUNNNNNNNNNNNNNNNNNNNNNNNNNNNNNNNNNNNNNNNNNNNNNNNNNNNNNNNNNNNNNNNNNNNNNNNNNNNNNNNNNNNNNNNNNNNNNNNNNNNNNNNNNNNNNNNNNNNNNNNNNNNNNNNNNNNNNNNNNNNNNNNNNNNNNNNNNNNNNNNNNNNNNNNNNNNNNNNNNNNNNNNNNNNNNNNNNNNNNNNNNNNNNNNNNNNNNNNNNNNNNNNNNNNNNNNNNNNNNNNNNNNNNNNNNNNNNNNNNNNNAGUAGACACCAUUUUCGUAGUCAAUACGAUGAUUCAUGUUGAAAAUAGAAUCGAGAAGCCUCCAAGUUCGAGUCUCAGACGAAUAUAUCAGUAUUUUGUACUGCUGACAUUCUACUACUCCAUAGAUGGAGUCAAUGCAGAUAACCUUGUAAUGAGGAGAUUUGGAAGGGUCAAAAGCCAAAGAGCACCCCAUGAUGUAGGAUGGUUCUGCUCGCGGAAAUGCGAGUGUCAAGAACUGGUUAGUUGUGGGAUUGAGAACGAAACAUGUGGAUAUACCAGUAUUUUUUUCACCAUGGGGACAACACAAGAAGAGGCCGUUGCAGGAGUGGAUAAUAUCAAUGUGGCCAUAUCGGUUUGCAAUGACACUAAGAGGAUUCCAGCGAGCUGAAAUGAGGUCAUGGCCACUGGGAUCAUGAUCAGGAGGAAUUGAAAUGAAAGAGAAGUUCUUGGAACUGUGACGAAAGACAGCAGAGAUGGAGGAGUUUGGGUUUUGAAGGGUGUGGCGGUGACAAAAUUUGGGGUUUGAGAUAAGAGACAGCCAACGCUUGGAGACACAUUUGAAGCGGAGCAGUGGUUUAGCUGGCACACGCAAAAGGAUUUCGGUAAGGAGUUCUUCUAUGCUGGCUACGGUUUCUGGUAAGGUUUUGCUGGUGGUGGUGCAGGGUUUUAGGUAGAAUCCCUGGCCCAUAUUCGAUCUCUGUAAACAAGGUUUCAUGCUUGCUCGCCUGCCUUCUCUACUAAUCUUUUAUAGCCUACAAUAAACCAACUCCUAAUUAACAAACUAUGAUUCCAUUAAACCAGAUGACCCAAUACACACAACAAUAAACGAUCCACCCUUCUGACCUUUCAACCGGUGGACAUGAAUUUUACCGAUGAAAGGAGAAAAUCAAAAAGCAGUAAAACAAUGGAAGUUCAUAUAGUUUUCGUGAACAAAGUUCAUCUAACUUACUUCCAGUUUACUGGUCGCCAGCGGCGGAUCACGCUGUUGGGGAAUCUCAGGAGCCAAGAUCUGACUGGGGAUGCGGAACUCGUCGACGAGGGGGUUUCCGAAAGUUGGAGUAAGGGAUUUUAUCCGCUUCUCACUUGGGCCACCAAUCAUAAAAAUUAUGAACCCUACUAAGUACUAAGCCUGCUGUUGGGCCUUUUGCUACUCUUUCUCAUGGCUGUCAGGGCUUUCUUCCUUCUAAACUCCUAUUUGUAGCCCAGUUUUCUAUCUCCAGGUUCUAUGGGCUUAUGGCCACGUAUUCUAACAAAUCGCAUGACACAAUUCUUUUUUAUUUUUUGUGGAAUAACGAGAGCUAGAACGGCAGCCCUCACGCUAUAACCAUUAACAAAACCUCAGAAUACAAGAGGGGGGACAUUGUGUCUAACCCCAUAUCGUAAGAACACCCUAAAAAAAUAUUAGGCAUGUCUACAAAUUCUAUGCAUUCUAACAAGCACCAUUUAGCAAAUAGUACAUCAUUAACUACUGCAUUUGCUUUACAAUUUUGGCAACAAACCGGAAUAAUAUUGCUCAUAAAGAGCCAUAAACUAUCAUCUCUAUCAACUUUCCAGCUAUGAUGCCACUGAAAAUUACCAGUAACCUUAAGUUUCCUCCUACCACUAGGAGGCUGCCACCAUUUGCCAAAGCAAAGAACUCACCACCUCAUUAGGGCAAACAUGACACGAUGUGUGCGCUUACUAAGAGAUAGCCCACCAGUAUCCAAAAUAACCAAAAAAUAAUAAGGCAAAAACCAAAAAGAGCACCUACUUGGGCGAAGCCCUCUGUCAGCUAUAAGAAGCUGGUGACUUAUUUCAUCUGCUAACCAAAUUAAAACUAGGAAAGUAAAAAACUUUAACGAAAAUAAUAAUAAAUACCCAAAUUGGGCAUGCAGGCCAAAUCCAGGCCUUGAAACCCACUGCCACAUAGAAGCCCACUAGCCCACCAACUCCGGCCCAAGUCAGCAACUGCACCCUUUUCUCUUUCCCGCCGCCGUGAAGAAGCCCUACCGGUAGAGUGACAGAAGAACCAUUACCUAAAUACAAAUAUCAUUUUCAAUUAUUAAGUCCAUUUAGAAGAGCCCAACCAUUCUCAUGAGAAUUCAAAGGCACAAAAAGAAAGGCUAACUGGCGAAACCGUUACCUAGAAAAAGGAGUUUCCAGUAGCCCAUCAACCUCAUCCAUUUUGACAAUGAAAAAGAAAUUAAAAUUACAAGAAAGCUUUCGGGAGGUUUCAGCUAGGGCUCAAGGCAAAAGAAGUAGAGCUGAUUAUGAACAAAGUAGCAACUCAAAAGGGGUAGCUACUCAAGCUGAAGUUCUGGAAAACUUAUCAACUGGCUUUGGUAAAAUUGUCACCACUUUUGAUACAAUUUUUGGCAUAAUGGAGAAGAGAGAAUCAAGAGACACUGAAUGUUGGAUUGCUAUUCAGGAGACCCUAGGAUUAACUGAUGAGGCUAGCUUUUUUGGGCUUAGUUUUCUUAACACCAAGGCAAAGCAAGACAUCUUCUUGAAGAUGAGUCCGAACCAACGACGUAAUUGGAUCACUUGGGCACGAAUUAAUGCAUCAGGCUAAUAAGCAAUAUGAUAUUGCCUCCUAUAUGCUAUGUCCUAUUAUAAUUUUAAGUCAUGGAGUUUGAUAGUACUGUUUUGUUUGCAUUGCAUCUUGGUUUGAUUGAAUUUAUACUUGUUUUUUAUGGAUUAGAACAGCUUGAUUGUUUCUUUGAAUAAUUAUGGUUUCAUUGAAUUUAUUGCAGCUUGAUGGUUUCUUUGAAUAAUUAUGAGUUCUGGUUUGCUUUUGAAUGUAUAUUAUUAUGAAUAUGAAUAUAUAGUAACCUUGUUCUUUUAAUAUGUUUAGGUGCUUUCUCUAUUAGCAAUGUCUGAAAUGGAUAUGUAUGGAGUUGAUGAAGAGGAAGAAGAGUUUUACGAGGCCAUUAGAAUUUUAUUAAUGGCAAUACAAGCAGUGAUUUAUGUGUUAUAUGAUCUUGUGCUCAGCAUACCAGAUGAAAGUAUUAGACGUCCAUUGACUCGGAGACCAGUGACAUCAAAUGGGUACAUAUACAUGAAUAAGAUACUGGACGGAGACCCUCAUAUCUUUCGGGAGGUUUACAGAAUGUAUCCUGACGUGUUCCGGAAAUUGUGUGUCAUCAUAAAAGAGAAAACACCUUUACGGAAUACAAGACACAUUUGUGUUGAAGAAAUGCUUGCAACCUUUUUACUAGUUGUCGGUCAAAACAAUUGAUAUAGUGAACCUCGAAUGAUAUUCGAGCGAUCCCAUUUCACUGUUAGCAAAAGUUUCAACAAAAUCUUAAAGGCCUUAAAUAUAAUAGCUCCAGAGUUUAUGGCUAAACCACCGUCACCUAAUACCACACCACCAAACAUAAGAGAAAGUACAAGGUUUUAUCCUUUCUUUAAGGUACGCAAUGCAAGUUUUAUUGGCAAAUAUUUACAUCAUUGUACACUAUUGAAAUAUUGUUUCAUUUCUUCUUUACAUCUGAUGUAAAUAUUUUUCCAUUGUCUCAGGAUUGCAUUGGAGCUAUUGAUGGCACACAUAUUCCUGCAACAGUUGUUGGACGUGAGGUAAGCAGAUACAGAAAUCGCCAUGGGAAGAUAUCACAAAAUGUGUUAGCAGCUUGUAACUUUGAUUUACAAUUCAUAUAUGUGCUUAGUGGAUGGGAGGGUUCUGCUCAUGAUUCAAAAGUGUUAAAUGAUGCUAUUUCUAGAAGAAAUGGACUCACGUACCAGCAGGUAUAGUUUUGCGUGCAUGAAAAAACGCAGCAAGCUUAUUAAAUUUUAUAUCAUAUACUAUAUAACAUACUAAUACAUAUGUUUUUUAUGAUCAAGUAAAUAUUACCUAGGGGAUUGCGGAUUUCUAAACCGACGUCAAUUUUUAGCUCCAUUUCGAGGUACUCGAUAUCAUCUCAAAGAUUUUUGUGGUGGUGAAGGAAACCAUCCUGUCAACGCAGUUGAGUUAUUUAAUCUUCGUCAUGCUUCCUUGAGAAACAUAAUUGAGAGAAUAUUAGGAAUAUUUAAGUCACAGUUCACAAUUUUCAAAUCAGCACCACCAUUUCCUUACAAGACACAAGCAGAGCUUGUUUUGGCAUGUGCAGGAUUGCAUAAUUUUCUUCGACAAGAAUGCCGUUCAGAUGAAUUUCCUCCUGAACCAGAAGAUGAUCCGGUAGAGAAUGAAGAAGAUAAUUUUGAAUGGGAUGAUUUUCAAACCCAAGAGCAGCAAAGAGAUAAUGCUAAUCAAUGGAGAAUGAGUGUUGCUAAUCAGAUGUGGGCAGAAGCUCAAGCAAAUGCCAACAAUGUAAACAAUGACAAUGAAGAAAGUAAUCAUGAAGGAGAAGAAUGAUCAUAUCAUUAUUUUAGGACGUCUGCUUUUCAUGUUAAAGAUGCUAAUUAAUGUUUUUUUUCUUUUUCUAAUUUUUGACACGUGUAUCUUUCACUUCUAUUAAUUAUAUUUGGACGUUCUUCUUCUGUUUUAACAUUAUUUACCAAUUUUUUUUUAUCUUGUAAGUAUUGAGAAAUUUGUAGAAGUCGUUCAUAUAAAGUUUGUGGAUUUUCAUAAAUCUGUAGAAAGUCUAUGUUAAAAGUCGAUGAUUUUAAGAAAUCAACAAAAGUCUGUGGACUAUUUAAAGAGUUUGUGGACUAUUUAAACAGUCUAUGGACUAUUUAAAGAGUCUGUGAACUUUUCAAAAAUUCAUAUAAAUCCAGAUACAAUACACCCCCCCCUAAAACUCACAUUAAUUAAAACAUAUAUAGUCAAUCAAAAAGGCCCAACCACAGAAAUCCAACAUCGGGCAACCUAAACUUUAAGAAUACUCACGCUUCCAAAAAUGGUUGAAUUUUUUUCAGCACAUCAACAAGAAGUUUCUGCAGAGAAAAUUGGUGGACAAGCAUGCUCCCUAAAUCAAAAGCAACAUUGCAACAUAGCUCAUUUGCCUAGCUAGCCGACGACCAAAAUCUCGCCACCAGUCAAAUCCCCGCCUCCGUCAUGAAAACAAUUGCACCACACUGCAAAACCUCCGCCAUGAUCUCCACCUACAACGCCGCCCAAACCAGCCUCCCAAGAACUACCUAUGUCUUAGCGAUGCACACUAAUUCGGCGACCCAUGCCUCCACAUUAAUCUCUACUACUAUAAAAUAUAAACUAUAAAGCCAAGCUCUCGAAAACUUCACCAAAUUAUAAAUUGUCUAUAUUACUCAUGUUUAGUUAACUGAGACCACUCAAAACAAGGGUAGUUAUAAGUUAUAACAUGAAGCAACAUAAAAAAACAAAAAUAAAUUUUAUUCAUACAUCCAUAUUUCCUUAAUACACAUCUACUGCUAAAUACACCAUUCAUUUAUUUUUCAUAAACAUGACCACUAGAUACAUUUUCCGCCCCUUAAUUACCACUAGCAAGCUUGCUUUUUAUUAUUACCGCUAGAUACACAUUAUGUCAUUAUCCAUGCAUUUGACGUUAACUAGUAUAUUACAAAAUUCCCCUUGCAUAUUUUUACGAUUUUAUUGAAGGUCAGUAACAUUAAGCCAAUUUUGAUUUUUGUGGGUCAGUAGUAUUAUGCCAUUUUUUAUGCUCAGCAAAAUAACGCCAUUUUUUAGGUCAAUAGCAUUACAACAAUGCUUUGUGGGUGUUUGAAAUUUCAAAACGAACACCCAACAACAUUGAAACUUUAUAUGAGAGAAAAUAAUGUAUAACCGGAAAUUCUUGAAUGUUUAUGAAAUAGACUCGAUCUAAAAUUACUGAGCCUCAGUAGGAUUGUAAACCCAAACUCAUAAACUACUGUUCCUAAACAAAAUCAUACCAAAGGAAUGGUAGUUUUUGACUGCUAAAGAUAAGCAUAUGUUAUUAUUGAAGUGAUUAGAUACAAUGGUAGUUUUUGAUGACCAGAGAUACAGUCCCAUGAUAUUGAUUCUUGAAGGGUAAAAUAUGGUAUAGUCUUUAUAGUUUGAAGUCGACAUAUGUUCAGUCCUUAAAGUUUUAUUUUAAUCUGAAUUGUCCUUAAAGUCACGAUUUUUCUUCCAAAUGGUCAUUCUGUCAAUUUUCUCAAUUAAAUUGCUGACAUGACCAUUUAAAAUAUUGUAUAGUCUUUGCGGUUUGAAGUCGAUAUAUGUUCAGUCAUUUUAGUUUUAUUUUAAUAUGAAUAGUCUUUAAAGUCAUGAUUUUUCAUCCAAUGAUCUUUAAAAACACGAUUUUUCAUCUAAAUGAUCAUUCCGUCAAUUUUCUCAGUUAAAUUGAUGAUGUGACCAUUAAAAAUUACAAUAUCUUUAAUGGCCACGUCAGUAUUCUAACAGAAAAAAAUUGACCGAAAGACUAUUUGAAUGAAAAAUCGUGACUUUAAUAACCAUUCAGAUUAAAAUAAAACCACAAUGAGUGAACAUGUGUUGACUUCAAACCACAAAGGUUAAACAAAUUUCAAUUCGUUCUUGAAUUAUUCAAACCAAAGCAAUGAUAUAAAGUUAUUGCCAAAAUUCAAGUAAGAUAAGUCGAUCUCUCCAUUCAGGAUUGGGACUGUUAUGGUUUUCCUUCUUCAUUUAAGAUUAAGAUUGUUAUGGUUUCCUUCUUCAUUCAAGAUUGGGAUUCUUAUGGUUUUCUUCUUCAUUCAAUAUUGAUUUCCUUUUUCUACUAGGAGUGUGGUUCAUUAAGGGUCUAUAUAUGGCUCAAACCUGCUGCUCUAAAGUUUAGAGAGAUCGAAGAUGGUGCAGAGAGUCUACUCCAAACGCUGCAGCAAAACCUUAGCAGAAACCGUAACCAACAUAGAAGAACUCCUUACCGAAAUCCUUUUGCGUGUGCCAGCUAAACCACUGCUUCGCUUCAAAUGUGUCUCCAAGCAUUGGCUCUCUCUUAUCUCCGACCCCAAAUUUUGUCACCGCCACACCCUACAAAACCCAAACUCCUCCAUCUCUGCUGUCUUUCGUCACAGUUCCAAGAACUUCUCUUUCAUUUCAAUUCCUCCUGAUCAUGAUCCCAGUGGCCAUGACCUCAUUUCAGCUCGCUGGAAUCCUCUUAGUGUCAUUGCAAACCGAUAUGGCCACAUUGAUAUUNNNNNNNNNNNNNNNNNNNNNNNNNNNNNNNNNNNNNNNNNNNNNNNNNNNNNNNNNNNNNNNNNNNNNNNNNNNNNNNNNNNNNNNNNNNNNNNNNNNNNNNNNNNNNNNNNNNNNNNNNNNNNNNNNNNNNNNNNNNNNNNNNNNNNNNNNNNNNNNNNNNNNNNNNNNNNNNNNNNNNNNNNNNNNNNNNNNNNNNNNNNNNNNNNNNNNNNNNNNNNNNNNNNNNNNNNNNNNNNNNNNNNNNNNNNNNNNNNNNNNNNNNNNNNNNNNNNNNNNNNNNNNNNNNNNNNNNNNNNNNNNNNNNNNNNNNNNNNNNNNNNNNNNNNNNNNNNNNNNNNUUUUUUUUCUUUUCUUUUUUUUUUUUGGGGGGUGGGGGUGGGGGGUUCUUGAUGGUUUAUGUAUCAUCUGAUUGAGAGUAAUGGUUUAUGGUUUAUCUCCGGCACUCCUAGUAAAAGAAGGAAACCAUUACAAAACCUGAAUGGAGAAGUUUUGUUUUACUUCUCCCCAUCCUGAAUGGAGAGGUUUUCUGACCUACUAUCUGUCCAUCUUUCGUAUUUAUGUUGUCCAAGGCCUAUGGUAAUCUGUUACUCCUUGGCUGACGUACUAGUGGGAUUGAACACCUAAUUGUAGAGUUAGGUUCUAAUGUUCUGUGUCUCAACAUUUCUAUCUUAGGAACAGCUCUACAAACUCCAAUUCAAAACACCGAAAAGGCUGAAUGAGUAAGAAACCAUUUUGGUGUUGCAAUUAACCAGACUACCCGAGUUAUCUGUUGCAGAAUGCUGAAAAGACUCCACUUAUUGAUCUAACACUACCAAUACCAGAUUAUGGAGGAGGAUCCUGACUGCAUUUUAGUUGCCGGCCUUUACUUUAAGCUACACCAACAACUUUAUGCCAUUUCACAUACACCUGAAGCAUAAGUUCACGAAACAAAGUCUGAAGAUGAUCAAAACCAAUUGCAUCGUCCGAAUUCAGCAAUAAGUCGCUCUUAGUUGUAGAUGAUAUAUAACUGUACUUUCUAUAUUGGCUUAGAAUAUUUAGACCCCCAAAUAUGUAUGUGAAUCAUCAUAGAAAUGCAUGUAUACCGAUAUUGUUCAUCAACUGUAAUUACGCUGCUGAUGUUCGAUGCAUCACAAUGAAGAAAUGCAGACAUUAACAAUCAACAAACAACAUCAUCAUCCAAGUAUUCACAAUCUACUUCAUGAAUAUUGUUUCUAAGUCGUAUCGUUUCAUUUCAAGUAAUGAAAUCUAUUUGCUUUAACAGAGACUCACAUUUCAGACAUAUACAGCUACAGUCAGCUCUCACAUCUGGCAGCAAAUCAUGCAAAUAUUAAAAACAAAACACCAAUCUCUUGAACAACUCAAAUGGUAUCUUGCAUCCUCGCCAAGCAGGGCUUUAAUACUAGUUAUCACUAUAUCUGAUAUUUUGCUAUCCUUACAAUUGAACAUGCAUCGUCAUAGUUUCAAAGGAGCUACACAUCAAAAUACAGCAUGCAACUUUUGCUCCUCCAAGUCUCUUAUCUUUCCUUCAUUAACUGCAAAUAAAAACCAAUAAAGCCAUCAGCAAACAUAUACUAAAUAUCAUUACUGAAGUACUGCAAAUAAAUCAAAGUUUCCAUCCCUUACUCUAUCAUAAUCUAAAUCACACGAAAAACCUACAAUCCUGUCCACUCCACAGUAUCUGAUUGAUCCAAAAAGCCACCUGAGUGUGGAUAAAUUUUUAACACUUAUUGCUUAUGCUGAAGUAGCCGCGCACACACUUAAGUGAGUGUCUCAACCAAAACGGGUUGCACAUUCGAAAGUAUUAGUUUUAUAAAUGACAGACUUGUCUGACUAAAUGGAACACCACAUGUCAUACCAAAAUUCCACAAGGUUAAGGUAACAAAAAUCACAUUUAAUUGACUGAUAACAAACAUGUCACAAUCAAGGUUAAGGUAAUGUCCUCAAUUCACAAAACAACUUUCUACAAACGGGCAGAGACAAACCUAAGUUCUUACAUUUAAAUCCAGGCGAAUACAAGAAUCUACACAAAUCAUAAAUAGCUGAAAAAGGAAUGGAAGUCUCGGCAGUGGCUUACCAAAAGUGCUGUAUAAAGCGCCCCCCUAAGCAUUGGGUGGUAUGUCUCUCUGUGACAUAAAACAAGGAAAGGACCAAAUGUAUAAGAGAUGACACAACCAAACAGAUGUAUAACGGAAGCACACCAAGCUGAAAUGAAGAUUAAAGGUCAGAAUUAAGAAAGUACCUGCUCUCUGAUCAUUUUGAUUACCCUUGGUCCAACCGGAACGGCUUUGUACUUUGAAACUCGUUCAUUGGUGUCCAUAGGCACAGCAGGUGGAGACACAUCCAAUUUGUACUCAGCUACUAGCUGCCACAGCAGACCAUCAUGAUGCAUCUUGAAACCAACAAUGUUACUGUCAUUGUGCAGGAAAAACAAAUGUUGGUUGUCUUCACCCUUGGAGAUGCCGGCAACGGGGAACAGACUACUUGUGGCACUAGAGAGAGCCGGUUGAAAGCACGAGUGUUCUGUGAGUCGCCAUUUGUGGACCGUUGUCAUGUCCACAAGGGUGUCCACAUUCAUAUCCAAAGUAUAUAAAUCGACAGUAAAUUGACCAGUAGAGGAAAAUCGAUGUCUGCACGCUAUGAUUGCUCCAUCACAACCAGAACCAAAACUCAGCUUGCUAAUAUUAUAGUGAAAAUCAGCAGGAACCAGAAUAGUGUGGAGGUCGUUUGUGUUGAGAUCGAAAGCUAACAGGUGCUGCAUACGCCGGAUGUUGACUUUCCAAAAGAGAUAACCAUGUUUCCUCGACAUAUAAGCUGGCUCCAGCAAUGGGUAAUACAGGGACAAGGAUGGAAAGACUACCUCAAACCACUCUCCUCGUCUACUGUCGUACAUAUCCAAAUAUGUGGGAGGCCUCUCUGUUUCAGCCUCUGUAAACAAGAGGGGAAAUCGUACAAUCUUGAAAGAAGAACCGCUUGCGGUAUGUCCAAACCCAUAAGCGGCCUCAUUUGAAUAAUAUGCCCGAGGCGCAGCAGCACCUACAUCUGGAAUCCUCUGUUCCACCACCUCUGUUUGCACAUCACACACAUAAAAGAUGCUUCUGAUUGGGUCUCUGAAACAGAGCUUACCCAAGGAUUGACCCACCAUUAGAACCCGAUCAGGAAACGGGAGUGUGGUAAGCUCUUGAACUGUAGGAUUGACAUCUCCGUUGUCGUGACUAGGCCCCGGGAGAAACACCAUCUUGGGAGGGGCCGCUGGAUUGCGGUAAUGUAUGUAAAUUCGUUCUUCUGCAGCCACCAAGCUACCAGCUUUGUUCAUCUGCAGCCUCUCGGGGUGCUCGAUCAGCAGCCGUGUCUCCUCCACGUUGAGAUUAAGUGGGUUUCUUGGUGAACCCAUCCCUAAUCAGAAGAAGAAUUGGGGUUUCAAAUCUUAUGCCCAAAGAAACCCUAAAUCAGAAUUGGGGUUUCUCAAGAAUCGAACCGAAAUAGGCAUCAAAUUCCACAAAUCAACACUAUACUACUCAAAAAGCAUGAACCAAUUCCACAGAUUACAAGUCUAUGUCAAUAGAUUCAGAAACGCUUUAGUUUUUCACACAAGGCUAAAAUCAGCAUGCGAUCUUCCUUCAUAUAAACCCUAAACCCAACCCACAAGACAAAUUCGAAUUCAAUUUAAGCUUUCUCUCUCCAUAAACCCUAGCGCUCCGUUUUGAUUUCUUAAAGAAAACACAAGAAACUCAGAAAACAAAAACCUCAGCCGUUCGGAGCUGGAAAAUCUCCUGCAUUUCCUUCCCGGUGGCUUACGCUUUAGCUUCUUCUAUAUUUCCUUCACCGGAGCUUUUCCGGCGAACCGAACAGAGCCUAAGUCUAGCAAAGCGUAACCAAAACAACGGAGAGAGAGAGAGAGAGAGAGAGAGAGACUUACGUGUGUGAGCGGAGAGUCGGGGGAGCCGGUCAGCCGGAGACGGAAUUUGAGAGAGAAUUCCGGGAGCGACGACGUCGUUCUCAGAUUGUAGAAAAGAGCUGCGUGUAUUAAUCCUAUGAGUCCUAUCUGUGCAUGUUUGGUGCAUGGAAUUAUAUACUAUUGUACUAGAUCAGAGAGGUACUAAGUGGUUUACACAAAAAUGCAAACAAGUUUCGGUUUUUAAUACGAUCUGAUACGUAGAAAUAUUAAAUUAAAAUAUAGUCUGAUACGAAAUAAUUAAAAAAUGUUAAAAAAUUUAAUAUAAAUAUUAUUUAUAUUACAUAUAAAUAUAAUUAAAAUAAUAAUAAUGAGAAUUAAAUGACUAUAUAUUUAAAAUAAUAGUUAAAUAUUUAGUUUAACCAUUAUUUUAAAUAUUAUUGGUUGAAGAAGGAAGAAGCCUUCCCUGUUUUCUCCCCCCUCCCCCUGUAAUUUGCCCAUCGCAAUCGAUCAAACUCAAUAUUCCGUUCUUCCGUCUUCUUCAUUCGUUCUUCUACCACAUUAACCCAAAUCUUUCAGACUACUUCUAGAAUCCAAAUCCUCCACCCAAUUCCAGAACUAUGCAAUUCCAAUCAAUACCCAUCUAAGCAAGCAACAAAACAUCCAAUACCCAAUUCUCAAAAUAUGUUCUUUCGUUGAUUCAUUCAAGCAAUCAAGCACAUAAACAAUCAGAUAACAGAGAAAUAUGGUAAGAAAUCUAGCACCUUUAUCAAUUAGCUUACAUGAAUCCUAGAAAUUUUGUCCCUUCCUUCCCAGCUAGCAAUCUAUUCAAAGAGAAUCAGAAAGUUGUUCCUGGCAGCUUUCAAUCUAGAGAAGCUUCUUUCGUCUCUGCGUAAUGAGAUAUCUCAGUCUCAUCUCUUUGUCUUAAUCUUUCUCAAGCUCGACCAACGACAAGUACAAAAGUUUCCAUUUUAGAGGAAACGUGUUUCCCUCGCGUUUCAUAAAUCACUUUUUAUGGAAACGCGUUUCGGAUGCGUUUCGAAUCAAAAACGUUUCUAAAACGCGAAACGGCUAUCUUUCGACGUUUCCGUGCAACAUAGGGUUUGACCUAUGUUUGGUGAGAGGGAGGACAACAAUAACUGGUACUACUUAGCACCUGUUUUUUGCUCUCAGCCUCCUUAGCUGGUGCUAUUCUGGGUACUCAUUUUUGGGUUCUCAAGUUAACACGGUCUCUCUCCUCUUUUCAGUCUUGGUCUCUUUCUUUAGAUUUAUUGGUCCAUUCUCUCUUUCAUCUCUUUCUCUCUCUCUCAAGUAUUCUCCAGAUCCAUUGUUGCCAGACAACUGAGUAUUUUCCAACUUUGUGAAACUCUGUUGCAGAAUGCUGAAAGGACUCCACUUACUGAUCUAACACUAUCCACUUACUGAUCUAACACUACCAGAUAACCAGACUAUAGAGGAGGAUCCUGACUGCAUUGUAAUUGCCGGCCUUUACUUUAAGCUACACCAACAACUUUUAUGCCAUUUCACAAAUACACCUGAAGCAUAAGUUCACGAAACAAAGUUUGAAAAUGAUCCAAACCAAUUGCAUCAUCCAAUUUCAGCAAGUCCGUCUUAAUUGAAGAAAAGAGCAAAAGCAACUAACAGCCAUGACAAUGAUGUCGUGGGUUUGGUUUAGUUGUAGAUGAUAUAGAACUGUAUUUUCUACAUUGGCAAAGAAUCAUUAGACCCCCAAGGCCCCAACUAUGUAUAUGUUAACUACUAUAGAAAUGCAUGUAUACUGAUAUUGUGUGAUUACACUGCUGAUGAUCGAUGUAUCUCAACGAAGAAAUGCAGACAUUAACAAUCAACAAACAACAUCAUGUUAGAAUGGACUUAACAUUAUAAGUCCUAAGGCAUGACAACUUCCAUAGAAUAACAGAAUGAACAUUAUGAGAUUAUUAAUUGCAUUAUCAUGAUAUGUUUAUCUAAACGAAAUGGUUAGAUAAACAAUGAAAUACAUUUGAAUUAUCUUGUAUAACAAGAUAAUAGAGAUAGGCUAAUAUUGUGGUAUUUGUGUGGAACUCAAACUCUUUGACGAUUAAGAGUUUGAGCUAUCCAAAAUGCAAUAUAAAAGGGGUCCUUGUGCACACUCUAACUUACGCCAAAAACUAUUCUCUCUCCAUCAGAGCUUUGGUACUUGAGUGCUGCGCAAAAGAUCUCUUUUGGAAGCUUCUACUCACCUCUCUUCAUCCCGAUGGCUGCCCUCAACAUUGAGCAAGGUACUACUUUUGUUCCUUGAGUAUAUAUAUCAGUACAUGUAUGUAUAUGUUGAUGUAUGUCGGAUGCCAUGAUCUCUGAUCUUGUUUAUGCACAUGUGUUUAUGUGAAGUGUUUUGUCUCUGUGGUGUUAGUCUAAGACAUCAUCAUCAUCUCUAUCAUACACCUCAGAGACAAAAAGUUAUGGAAACAGCGCUGGAAUCACGUCAUUACAAAUAAAUAAUAAUUAAAAUGGUAUAUUGUACAACAGCCUCUGAAAUAACUCCUGAUCUGACAACCAGAACUCCAAAUGCAAAAACUCACACGGCAGCAGCAAAAGGAUGAUAUCAUAGUCAUAAUGGCUUUGAUCAAAAUCAACAGCAUAUCAAGUAGGUGAACCAUUACACACAAGCCAAAGUCUCUUUAUACAAAUAAUUGUUCUCCUCCACAAGGAAAUGCUGAUCAUUAGUUAACUGGAAAGAUUUGAAGGUCUUAC
rnacentral:lncRNA from 1 species